UACGUAGGGGGCUAGCGUUGUCCGGAAUCAUUGGGCGUAAAGCGCGUGUAGGCGGUCCGGUAAGUCCGCUGUGAAAGUCGGGGGCUCAACCCUCGGAUGCCGGUGGAUACUGUCGGGCUAGAGUGCGGAAGAGGCGAGUGGAAUUCCUGGUGUAGCGGUGAAAUGCGUAGAUAUCAAGAGGAACACCUGCGGCGAAGGCGGGUUGCUGGGCCGACACUGACGCUGGAGGCGCGAAAGCUAGGGAGCGAACAGG
rnacentral:rRNA from 1 species